rnacentral:pre_miRNA from 1 species
UUUCUACUCUCUCCGUCCGAAAAUACUUGUCAUCAAAAUGGAUAAAAAGAGAUGUAUCUAAAACUAAAAUACGUCUAGAUACAUUUCCUUUUAUCCAUUUCGAUGACAAGUAUUUCCGGACGGAGGGAGUAUUUG